rnacentral:rRNA from 1 species
UACCAGCACCCCGAGUGGUCGGGACGUUUAUUGGGCCUAAAGCAUCCGUAGCCGGUUCUACAAGUCUUUCGUUAAAUCCACCUGCUUAACAGAAUGGGCUGCGGAAGAUACUAUGGAGCUAGGAGGCGGGAGAGGCAAGCGGUACUCGAUGGGUAGGGGUAAAAUCCGUUGAUCCAUUGAAGACCACCAGUGGCGAAGGCGGCUUGCCAGAACGCGCUCGACGGUGAGGGAUGAAAGCUGGGGGAGCAACCGG